AUUCAAGUGACGAGUCCCAAAUAGGACGAAACGUGCAUCCUGGAU
rfam:Schistosoma mattheei strain Denwood, Zambia genome assembly, scaffold: SMTD_scaffold0000207